rnacentral:rRNA from 1 species
UACGGGGGGGGCAAGCGUUGUUCGGAAUUACUGGGCGUAAAGGGCGCGUAGGCGGCUUUGUAAGUCGGGGGUGAAAGCCUGUGGCUCAACCACAGAAUUGCCUUCGAUACUGCAUGGCUUGAGACCGGAAGAGGUAAGUGGAACUGCGAGUGUAGAGGUGAAAUUCGUAGAUAUUCGCAAGAACACCAGUGGCGAAGGCGGCUUACUGGUCCGGUUCUGACGCUGAGGCGCGAAAGCGUGGGGAGCAAACAGG